UGUCAAGUAUUGUUGAUUGGUCUGCAAAUUAUGUAUGUAAUUAAAUAUUUCAAAAAAAAAUUAUAAACCACAUUAUCAUCCCAAACCCCAAAAUUAAAUCCUAAAUCCCCAUUCCCAUCUCUAAACCCAAACUCAACCCCUAAAACACAAAAUCAUUAUACCCUAAACCCCAGUACAAUCUCUACCCCCAAAAUCAUUAAACCCCAAACCUCAUUUAUCAUUGCAUUUAUUUGAUUUUCCUCGACAACCCAAUUAUUAGUUUGAAUAUUGAUGAAAUGUGAUGAUAAAAGGGGUUAAGGGUUUAAUGAUUUUGAGGUUUAAGAUUUUGAUUUUAAGUUUAGGAAUGGUAAUUAGGUUUAAUAUUUAAUGAUUUUAAGGUUUAAGGGUUGAUUUCGAGGUUAGGGACGAUAAUGUAAGUUUAUAAUUAAUUUUUUAAAUAUUUAAAUAUAUACAGGAUGAAGUAAUUUUAGAGUAAUUAUCUAGGUGGUUUAAUUUUAUUUUUAUAUUAGAUAAAUAUAAGUAUUUGUUUAUAAAAAUUGAAAUCAAAUCAAUAAAAUUGUUGGAAAUGUGUGGCUAAAGUUUUUCUCUCAUGACACAUUUUAGCAGGGCUAACGAGAGGCCGAAGAAAAUUUGUCAAAAUCUUUUCCUUUUCUUAGUUUGAUUUUACAAAUUUUCUCAUUGAAUCUCUUGUUUGUUCUUGGAUUUCAUGGAUUUCUUAGUUGUCUUUCCCUUAUUAUUUUUUUCUUGAUUAUGAUGGCUGAUUCAAUAUUAAAAAUCUCAUAUUUAUGAAAUAGAGUUUCCUUCGUUAUGUAUGCAAUGUUCCAAUUCUUUAGAUUCUGUUAUGAAGGCCAUAUCAAAGGGGGAAAAGGUUGGAGUUGAAACUGUGAAAGGCGAGACCGUGGCUGCAUCUUCUUCAGGUUUUCGAACAGGGAAGAAAAGGCAAUGUUGAGAUCAAACUUGUUGGCCCAAGUAUCUAUUUUAUUGCUCCUAAUAGAAAAAAAAAAAAACUCUAGAUUGGAUUCUUGAAUCAGAACAAUGGCAUAUACAACAUACAGCUAUAAUCCUUUGUAAAUGAAAGCCAGAAAUGUACUCUUUACAAUUUGAUUUGGAAGACGACUGUUAUUUAGAUUAAACUUGGAAACUUAUCUUUUGAUCAUAGGAGUAUGGUGGAAAAUAGGCCUUAUAUUAUCGUCGGGGAUUUCAAAGCAAUGUGCAGUCCCCAAAGAUAGUUUAGAUUUUAAUGACUUUAAAACUUUUACAUCAGCCAUGAAUGAUUUCGUUGAUUGUAUGGAAAAUUUGAAGGUUAUUGAUCACCCUUUUAUAGGGACUCUGUUUA